CUGCGAAUAUUCUCGCCGUUCUGAUUUUGUAAUAAUCAGCACAGGCUAAACAUUCGCUAUAUAAAAACCAUGCAUGUGGUUUCUAUAUAGUUCUAGACCUAGUUCUUUUCCUAGGUUUGGUUUUAUAAAUGCUGGUGAUAAAU
ensembl:snoRNA SNORA72 Small nucleolar RNA SNORA72